rnacentral:rRNA from 1 species
CCUACGGGAGGCAGCAGUGGGGGAUAUUGGACAAUGGGGGAAACCCUGAUCCAGCGACGCCGCGUGAGUGAAGAAGUAUUUCGGUAUGUAAAGCUCUAUCAGCAGGGAAGAAAGAAAUGACGGUACCUGAGUAAGAAGCCCCGGCUAACUACGUGCCAGCAGCCGCGGGAAUACGUAGGGGGCAAGCGUUAUCCGGAAUUACUGGGUGUAAAGGGAGCGUAGACGGUAAUGCAAGUCUGGAGUGAAAGGCGGGGGCCCAACCCCCGGACUGCUCUGGAAACUGUGUAACGGGAGUGCAGGAGAGGCAGGCGGAAUUCCUAGUGUAGCGGUGAAAUGCGUAGAUAUUAGGAGGAACACCAGUGGCGAAGGCGGCCUGCUGGACUGUAACUGACGUUGAGGCUCGAAAGCGUGGGGAGCAAACAGGAUUAGAUACCCCUGUAGUC